rnacentral:rRNA from 1 species
CCUCGGGGGCAGCAGUGGGGAAUAUUGGGCAAUGGGCGCAAGCCUGACCCAGCAACGCCGCGUGAAGGAAGAAGGCUUUCGGGUUGUAAACUUCUUUUAAGAGGGAAGAGCAGAAAACGGUACCUCUUGAAUAAGCCACGGCUAACUACGUGCCAGCAGCCGCGGUAAUACGUAGGUGGCAAGCGUUGUCCGGAUUUACUGGGUGUAAAGGGCGUGCAGCCGGGAAGACAAGUCAGAUGUGAAAUCCCGCGGCUCAACCGCGGAACUGCAUUUGAAACUGUUUUUCUUGAGUACCGGAGAGGUCA